AUAAAUGAAGCGGUCUGGAAAGGCCCGCCAAAGACGGUAACAGCCCGGUAGUUGAAAUGGCUUUCCCUCCAGAGUGGAUCCUGAGUACGGCGGAACACGUGAAAUUCCGUCGGAAUCCGGGAGGACCAUCUCCCAAGGCUAAAUACUCCCUAGUGACCGAUAGUGAACCAGUACCGUGAGGGAAAGGUGAAAAGCACCCCGGAAGGGGAGUGAAACAGUUCCUGAAACCGUGUGCCUACAAGUAGUUAGAGCCCGUUAAUGGGUGAUAGCGUGCCUUUUGUAGAAUGAACCGGCGAGUUACGAUUUGUUGCAAGGUUAAGCGGAAAAAGCGGAGCCGUAGCGAAAGCGAGUCUGAAUAGGGCGCAUAAGUAACAGGUCGUAGACCCGAAACCAGGUGAUCUACCCAUGUCCAGGAUGAAGGUAAGGUAAUACUUACUGGAGGUCCGAACCCACGCACGUUGAAAAGUGCGGGGAUGAGGUGUGGGUAGCGGAGAAAUUCCAAUCGAACUUGGAGAUAGCUGGUUCUCUCCGAAAUAGCUUUAGGGCUAGCCUCGAGGUAAAGAGUCAUGGAGGUAGAGCACUGUUUGGACUAGGGGCCCUUCUCGGGUUACCGAAUUCAGAUAAACUCCGAAUGCCAUGUACUUAUACUCGGGAGUCAGACUGCGAGUGAUAAGAUCCGUAGUCGAAAGGGAAACAGCCCAGACCACCAGUUAAGGUCCCCAAAUAUAUGUUAAGUGGAAAAGGAUGUGGGGUUGCUUAGACAACCAGGAUGUUGGCUUAGAAGCAGCCACCAUUGAAAGAGUGCGUAAUAGCUCACUGGUCGAGUGACCCCGCGCCGAAAAUGUACCGGGGCUAAACAUAUUACCGAAACUGUGGAUGAACCUCAUUAGAGGUUCGUGGUAGGAGAGCGUUCUAAGGGCGGUGAAGUCAGACCGGAAGGACUGGUGGAGCGCUUAGAAGUGAGAAUGCCGGUAUGAGUAGCGAAAGAAGGGUGAGAAUCCCUUCCACCGAAUAUCUAAGGUUUCCUGAGGAAGGCUCGUCCGCUCAGGGUUAGUCGGGACCUAAGCCGAGGCCGAUAGGCGUAGGCGAUGGACAACAGGUAGAGAUUCCUGUACCAGUGCUAAUUGUUUAACCGAUGGGGUGACACAGAAGGAUAGGGAAUCGCACGAAUGGAAAUGUGCGUCCAAGCAGUGAGUGUGAGAAGUAGGCAAAUCCGCUUCUCGCGAAGCAUGAGCUGUGAUGGGGAAGGAAAUUAAGUACGGAAGUUCCUGAUUUCACGCUGUCAAGAAAAGCCUCUAGGAAGAGUAGUACUGCCCGUACCGCAAACCGACACAGGUAGAUGAGGAGAGAAUCCUAAGGUGAGCGAGAGAACUCUCGUUAAGGAACUCGGCAAAAUGACCCCGUAACUUCGGGAGAAGGGGUGCUCUAUUAGGGUGCAAGCCCGAGAGAGCCGCAGUGAAUAGGCCCAGGCGACUGUUUAGCAAAAACACAGGUCUCUGCAAAACCGUAAGGUGACGUAUAGGGGCUGACGCCUGCCCGGUGCUGGAAGGUUAAGAGGAGUGCUUAGCUUCGGCGAAGGUACGAAUUGAAGCCCCAGUAAACGGCGGCCGUAACUAUAACGGUCCUAAGGUAGCGAAAUUCCUUGUCGGGUAAGUUCCGACCCGCACGAAAGGCGCAACGAUCUGGGCACUGUCUCAACGAGAGACUCGGUGAAAUUAUAGUACCUGUGAAGAUGCAGGUUACCCGCGACAGGACGGAAAGACCCCGUGGAGCUUUACUGCAACCUGAUAUGGAAUGUUUGUACCGCUUGUACAGGAUAGGUAGGAGCCGAAGAGACGUGUGCGCUAGCAUACGAGGAGGCAAUGGUGGGAUACUACCCUG
rnacentral:rRNA from 1 species